rnacentral:lncRNA from 1 species
UGGAGAAGGAGCUCGGCGGAACGGCUCUGGAAGCCCCGGUAGCGGGGCUCACAUCUUUGCAAGGCCUCCUGAGUGCUGGGAUUACAGGCAUGUGCCACCAUGCCCAGCAUCUGUGACCAGCCCCGAGACACAGAAGCAACUGGACCUGAGACAGGAACUGCCACCUGGGCUAUUGAAGUAGACUGGCUGGGUGGGUCUUAUCUGCCACAAUAUGAAAUCAUCACUGCCGUCAAGAGGCCUGAGCAGAUGAAAAAGGGGAAAUGAAGCAUUUAAAUAUAAAGAAUCCCAACAUCUGGCGUCCAAACAGGGACUCAACAGCAGAGACGUCUGCUGUGGAGUGUGACUUGCCUUCGCUGUGUUCCCGGGGUAGGACAUGGCCCCCACGAUGUGUCGACUUCAUUUGCUUUGAAAAAUCCCCGGGUAAGUCAUGGAAAAUUCCUUGUCUAAAGCACAACAAAAGCAUAAGGCAAAACUGCUUUUUUUCCUUAAGAAGGUGGGCCAUGUGUUCCCUGAGCAUAACUUAGUACAAGUUUUGCAAAAAAUUCAUGAUUGCUGAUUCCCUUUCUCUAUGACAGGCCCUUCAGGCACAGCUCACACACGCACCACAGUGACGGUGGAUCCAGUGCCCGCUCUUCCCACUCAUCUUUCACCCAGCCCCUCUGCCCACAGCGGCUCUUGGUGCCAUCCAGAGCGACAAGAUACUUAUUAUCAAACGGUUACAUUUUCCCCGCUCGCCUGGUGGUACUGUAUUUCCCAUUAUCAAUGCUAAUUCAUGUCUUAUCUCUCCAGGAUGUACUCACAUACACACAUUCCCUCGAAUUUAUCGCACUAAAACUGUUUUACCACUUAGCAAAACUGACUUCUCCCUUUUGCUGUCCCCUACUGUUUCUCUUUAAGUCUCUUUGGCUAUGUUGGUUCCAUUUCUUUCAAAACGCCCCCAGUCCCAGGCUGGCAGGGCCCGGGCGCCCCUGCUGACCUGGGGAGGAGGAGAUGCUUCUGUGUUAUCCCCACAGGGUUCCUGCUUGUUGCAUUCACCAUGCACAAAACAAGUUGACACCACGGGCUACACAACGCAGUUCCACAGUUUCGCCUCUCCCUAAACCAAGCCUGGCCUCCUUAAAAGCGACCCAAGACAACUGCUUGCCAGUGACGUGGGUGACAUAGAUACAUCUAAAGAAAAAUCCACUGCUCAUCAGCUUCUUGAGGCGGUAUUUACCAAAUUGACAAUAAACUCU